rnacentral:rRNA from 1 species
AGCGAACGCUGGCGGCAGGCUUAACACAUGCAAGUCGAGCGGACGUAGCAAUACGUUAGCGGCAGACGGGUGAGUAACACGUGGGAACGUGCCCUUUGGUUCGGGAUAACCCAGGGAAACCUGGGCUAAUACCGGAUAAGCCCUUACGGGGAAAGAUUUAUCGCCAAAGGAUCGGCCCGCGUCUGAUUAGCUAGUUGGUGGGGUAAUGGCCCACCAAGGCUACGAUCAGUAGCUGGUCUGAGAGGAUGAUCAGCCACACUGGGACUGAGAUACGGCCCAGACUCCUACGGGAGGCAGCAGUGGGGAAUAUUGGACAAUGGGCGAAAGCCUGAUCCAGCCAUGCCGCGUGAUAGAUGAAGGCCCUCUGGGUUGUAAAUAUCUUUUAUCUGGGAAGAACACUCUAUU